ACGCUAUCACUCCUACGGGAGGCAGCAGUGGGAAUAUUGCACGAAUGGGGAAACCCUGAUGCAGCCAUGCCGCGUGUGUGAAGAAGGCCUUCGGGUUGUAAAGCACUUUCAGCGAGGAGGAAAGGGUGUAAGUUAAUACCUUACAUCUGUGACGUUACUCGCAGAAGAAGCACCGGCUAACUCCGUGCCAGCAGCCGCGGUAAUACGGAGGGUGCGAGCGUUAAUCGGAAUUACUGGGCGUAAAGCGUGCGCAGGCGGUUUGUUAAGCGAGAUGUGAAAGCCCCGGGCUCAACCUGGGAACCGCAUUUCGAACUGGCAAACUAGAGUCUUGUAGAGGGGGUAGAAUUCCAGGUGUAGCGGUGAAAUGCGUAGAGAUCUGGAGGAAUACCGGUGGCGAAGGCGGCCCCCUGGACAAAGACUGACACUCAGAUGCGAAAGCGUGGGGAGCAAACAGGAUUAGAUACCCUGGUAG
rnacentral:rRNA from 1 species